AUUGAACGCUGGCGGCAGGCCUAACACAUGCAAGUCGAGCGAGCGGCGGACGGGUGAGUAAUGUCUGGGAAACCGUCUGAUGGAGGGGGAUAACCACUGGAAACUGUAUCUAAUACCGUAUACCCUCAGAUGCGCCCAGAUGGGAUUCGCUAGUAGGUGGGGUAAUGGCUCACCUAGGCGACGACCCCUAGCUGGUCUGAGAGGAUGACCAGCCACACUGGAACGGAGACACGGUCCAGACUCCUACGGGAGGCAGCAGUGGGGAAUAUUGCACAAUGGGCGCAAGCCUGAUGCAGCCAUGCCGCGUGUGUGAAGAAGGCCUUCGGGUUGUAAAGCACUUUCAGCGAGGAGGCGUUACUCGCAGAAGAAGCACCGGCUAACUCCGUGCCAGCAGCCGCGGUAAUAC
rnacentral:rRNA from 1 species